AGUUCCGAUAUAGUGCCAUUUGCGACUCAAGUGUUUCUGUGAUAUGCACCAGAGAUAGGGUCCCUGUGCUACCAGCAAGUAACCCUUUUGGGAAUUAGCAAGUAACAGCUAAUCAAUGAGAAGCUGUUUCAGAACGAUUUUCUACCUCACUGGUCCGCAAUAAUGCUCGCUGUACUGUCAAAAACUGAGUUUCUAAUGGCUUGGCGAGGUGGACAUGUUAACUACGGAGAGCCAUUGUGCUGCCACCGCACCAGUAAUUUACGUGACCAAGGCUCUGGCCCAACGCAGACAUGAUUGUGUGGCCUCGGCGUGACAAGUACAUAAUUGUGUGGCAGCUACACAUCCGCGUGUCUGGAUUAGCUCCAGUAAAGUGACAGAACCGCUCUCGCAAUAAAAGUUGAAUAUUUUGUAUACAAACAAAUUAUUUAUUGGAUAAUUCUUGUAAACAAUUUAAAUUACUUUUUCCUUAUAAUAAUAAAUUUAAUCUAGUAAAAAACUCAAGAAAGAUAGGUUUUAAGAUGUUCUAUAUUAUGUCUUUAGUUAUAUAGGUUUAGACAGACCAUCCUUGCGGUAUAAGUAGUGAUCAUAGUAAUGUCUCGCUACUGUGUGGGUAUGUUGCAACUGCAUACAAGUUCAAAACGAUUCCCAGUAGUGUGAGGAUAUGAGAAGUAUUGAGGAUUGUUAGUAGUAGUUUACAGUAACUAUUAUUCUAGUUAAAAUAUCAUCAGU